UAUUCUGCCCAGACGGGAAGGAUGAGAAGCUUCGACUAAGGUUCGAUUCGAGCGUUAGCGAGAAAGCGUUGCCGCAGGCAACGACCCGAAGGGCGAAGCGCUCCGCGCUGAGUAAUCCUUCCCCCACCACCA
rnacentral:sRNA from 1 species